rnacentral:rRNA from 1 species
UACGAGGGGGGCGAGCGUUGUUCGGAAUUAUUGGGCGUAAAGGGCGCGUAGGCGGUGCGGUAAGUCACCUGUGAAACCUCUGGGCUUAACUCAGAGCCUGCAGGCGAAACUGCCGUGCUGGAGUGUGGGAGAGGUGCGUGGAAUUCCCGGUGUAGCGGUGAAAUGCGUAGAUAUCAGGAGGAACACCAAUGGCGAAGGCAGCUCGCUGGGACGGUACUGACGCUGAGACGCGAAAGCGUGGGGAGCAAACAGG